rnacentral:tRNA from 1 species
CAGGAAGUAGUUUAAUUAGAACGUCAGCUUUGGGUGCUGAUAGUGAGGAGGAGAAUCUUCUUCUUGA